rnacentral:rRNA from 1 species
GCUCAGGAUGAACGCUGGCGGCGUGCUUAACACAUGCAAGUCGAACGAAGCACCUUGAUUUGAUUCUUCGGAUGAAGAUCCUGGUGACUGAGUGGCGGACGGGUGAGUAACGCGUGGGUAACCUGCCUCAUACAGGGGGAUAACAGUUAGAAAUGACUGCUAAUACCGCAUAAGACCACAGCACCGCAUGGUGCAGGGGUAAAAACUCCGGUGGUAUGAGAUGGACCCGCGUCUGAUUAGGUAGUUGGUGGGGUAACGGCCUACCAAGCCGACGAUCAGUAGCCGACCUGAGAGGGUGACCGGCCACAUUGGGACUGAGACACGGCCCAAACUCCUACGGGAGGCAGCAGUA